UCAGGCAGAAGGUUCCCAGUGUGGUCAGGCAGAAGGUUCCCAGUGUGGUCAGGCAGAAGGUUCCCAGUGUGGUCAGGGUUAGGCAGAAGGUUCCCAGUGUGGUCAGGGUCAGGCAGAAGGUUCCCAGUGUGGUCAGGGUUAGGCAGAAGGUUCCCAGUGUGGUCAGGCAGAAGGUUCCCAGUGUGGUCAGGGUUAGGCAGAAGGUUCCCAGUGUGGUCAGGCAGAAGGUUCCCAGUGUGGUCAGGGUUAGGCAGAAGGUUCCCAGUGUGGUCAGGGUUAGGCAGAAGGUUCCCAGUGUGGUCAGGGUCAGGCAGAAGGUUACCAGUGUGGUCAGGGUUAGGAAGAAGGUUCCCAGUGGGGUCAGGCAGAAGGUUCCCAGUGUGGUCA